ACGAAACAAAGCUCGACUUGACAGCGUCGACGUUGACGGCUCUCAUUCGCGUUUCAACGUUUGCGCGGCGCUCACGCAACGGCUGAGUAGAGCAGAGCAGAGCAGAGCGGCAUUCAAAUAACGUAUCAAUUACCAAAUACGACAAACGCACGAGCUGUUUGUGGAGCACACGCCCCUCCGCACAAACAAGAGUGAAAAAUUUGUAUAUCGCUGCGGCUGAUAAGGCAAAUGGGCGCUGGUAAAAGGCCAAGACAAUGGCCGAAAUGCGAGCGUAAUUAACAAAAUGUGCGCCGAGCGACAAGUGAAUGAAAAUAGCUGAAAAAUAUACGUGAAUCGAGACAAAAGCAAGCCAAACAACGAGUAAGCCAACGAAUUUAAACAAAAAGUGUCUAAAACACAAAACCAGUGUUGAGAAGUGGCGCGCGGAGAAUCGCAUUGAGCGCUGAACUUGACAGCGCGACGGAGGCGCCUACGGCCGGUUCCCAGGCAAACGAAUUGAAACUGUUUGUGCGUGUGUGUGUGUGAGUGAGUGUUGGCUUGUGCAUGUUAGCCUGCAUUCACUGUACAGUUCGAGUACAGUGUGUGUCUGCGUGCGGAAAUGGCUUAGCGCAAAAAUGUUUUGAUUAAAAGUGAACGUUUGUGUGUCAAGCGGGUUCAAGUGAAGCGAAAGCGUCAAAUAC